GCCAGACUCCUACGGGAGGCAGCAGUGGGGAAUAUUGGACAAUGGGGGGAACCCUGAUGCAGCGACGCCGCGUGGGUGAAGGAGCGUUUCGGCGCGUAAAGCCCUAUCGGCAGGGAAGAAGGAGGACGGUACCUGACUAAGAAGCCCCGGCUAACUACGUGCCAGCAGCCGCGGUAAUACGUAGGGGGCAAGCGUUAUCCGGAUUUACUGGGUGUAAAGGGGGCGCAGACGGCGAUGCAAGCCAGGAGUGAAAGCCCGGGGCCCAACCCCGGGACUGCUCUUGGAACUGCGUGGCUGGAGUGCAGGAGGGGCAGGCGGAAUUCCUGGUGUAGCGGUGAAAUGCGUAGAUAUCAGGAGGAACACCGGCGGCGAAGGCGGCCUGCUGGACCGUGACUGACGUUGAGGCUCGAGAGCGUGGGGAGCAAACAGGAUUAGAUCCCCGCGUA
rnacentral:rRNA from 1 species